UAGUUAUGAAUAUUAUAUCAAAAUAAUAUAUAUAAUUUCUGUAAUUGCAAGGUUUUGCAAUUGUGUCAAUAGUGGGAGAAAAUGUCUUUACAGUUAUUUACCAGUUAAUAUUUUAUCUUUUUACAAGUAAGUUAGUAUUUUUAACAAUUUUUUUUUCACAAACUCAUUUUCCAGUAGCCCACGAAGUCCUAUUUGCUGGUACAAUAGGAAUUUUGCAUAUAAUUGUAUCUCUUUUAUUGCCCUGUCAUUGUACAUCGUUAUGUGUUUGCUAUCGUAUUUAUUAAUUGCACAUCAUAAAGAAUUGCUACCUAUGUUACCAAGUAGAAAGCUAUUAUUAGUAUCUUUGCUCCAUUAUUUAAAGCUUCCUUAUUAUAAGAGUGUAUCCAAUAUCUUUCUUCUAAAUUACUCCAUUUUUCUUUACAAAAUGCUGAAAAAUACAUCUUUCAACAAGAGUCAGUUACAUGAAACCAGUGUUUCAAUGCUCCAGUGCUUUUUAUAUCCUUGUUGAAGUUGCCUUUGUACUUCCUGCACCAAACAUUAAUAAAGUUAAUUAGAACUCAGAAA